rnacentral:rRNA from 1 species
GUGGGGAAUAUUGCGCAAUGGGCGAAAGCCUGACGCAGCGACGCCGCGUGGGGGAUGACGGCCUUCGGGUUGUAAACCUCUUUCGACCUUGACGAAGCCUUCGGGUGACGGUAGGGGUAGAAGAAGCACCGGCCAACUACGUGCCAGCAGCCGCGGUAAUACGUAGGGUGCGAGCGUUGUCCGGAAUUAUUGGGCGUAAAGAGCUCGUAGGCGGUCUGUCGCGUCGGUCGUGAAAACUUGGGGCUUAACCCUGAGCUUGCGGUCGAUACGGGCAUGACUUGAGUUCGGCAGGGGAGACUGGAAUUCCUGGUGUAGCGGUGAAAUGCGCAGAUAUCAGGAGGAACACCGGUGGCGAAGGCGGGUCUCUGGGCCGAUACUGACGCUGAGGAGCGAAAGCGUGGGGAGCGAACAGGAUUAGAAACCCCGGUAGUCC